rnacentral:piRNA from 1 species
UCCCUUUCAGAAGAAUUUUAACUGCUACAGU